GCCUUUGUAGCUCAGUUGGUAGAGCAGUGGACUGAAAAUACACGUGUCGCUGGUUCGAUUCCGGCCGAAGGCACCA
rnacentral:tRNA from 1 species